rnacentral:rRNA from 1 species
GUCCCUGCCCUUUGUACACACCGCCCGUCGCUACUACCGAUUGAAUGGUUUAGUGAGAUCUUCGGAUUGGAACCGCCGCGGUCGGCAACGGUCAGGUGGAUUUCGAGAAGUUGAUCAAACUUGAUCAUUUAGAGGAAGUAA